UGCAAGUCGAGCGGUAAGGCCCCUUCGGGGGUACACGAGCGGCGAACGGGUGAGUAACACGUGAGCAAUCUGCCCUUCUCUUUGGAAUAACCAUUGGAAACGAUGGCUAAUGCCGAAUAUGACCUCCUUUCGCAUGUUUGGAGGUGGAAAGCUCCGGCGGAGAAGGAUGAGCUCGCGGCCUAUCAGCUUGUUGGUGAGGUAAUGGCUCACCAAGGCAUUGACGGGUAGCCGGCCUGAGAGGGUGACCGGCCACACUGGGACUGAGACACGGCCCAGACUCCUACGGGAGGCAGCAGUGGGGAAUAUUGGACAAUGGGCGAAAGCCUGAUCCAGCAACGCCGCGUGAGGGAUGACGGCCUUCGGGUUGUAAACCUCUUUCAGCAGGGACGAAGCGAAAGUGACGGUACCUGCAGAAGAAGGACCGGCCAACUACGUGCCAGCAGCCGCGGUAAUACGUAGGGUCCGAGCGUUGUCCGGAAUUAUUGGGCGUAAAGGGCUCGUAGGCGGUUUGUCGCGUCGGGAGUGAAAACUCAGGGCUCAACCCUGAGCGUGCUUCCGAUACGGGCAGACUAGAGGUAUUCAGGGGAGAACGGAAUUCCUGGUGUAGCGGUGGAAUGCGCAGAUAUCAGGAGGAACACCGGUGGCGAAGGCGGUUCUCUGGGAAUUACCUGACGCUGAGGAGCGAAAGCAUGGGGAGCGAACAGGAUUAGAUACCCUGGUAGUCCAUGCCGUAAACGUUGGGCGCUAGGUGUGGGGACCUUCCACGGUUUCCGUGCCGCAGCUAACGCAUUAAGCGCCCCGCCUGGGGAGUACGGCCGCAAGGCUAAAACUCAAAGGAAUUGACGGGGGCCCGCACAAGCGGCGGAGCAUGCUGAUUAAUUCGAUGCAACGCGUAGAACCUUACCUGGGUUUGACAUAUGCCGGAAAGC
rnacentral:rRNA from 1 species